UUGAGUGUCAUGAAACAUCAUCCCGUUGGGUUUCCAACGGCAUGGACUUGGGUGUUGCCGUCCGGCUCGCCUCAAAAGCCUUAGUGGUCCGAUCCGAAUCUGGCGUAAUAAGUUUCGCUGGCCCAGAUGAAGACUGCUUGACCCGUCUCUGACAUUUUUGCUCUGACCUCAAAUCAGGUAAGACUGCCCGCUGAACUUAA
rnacentral:misc_RNA from 1 species